CCGAGUUUACAACUCCCAAACCCUUUGUGAACCUUACCUUACUGUUGCUUCGGCGGGAUCGCCCCGGCGCCACUGCGCGCCGGAUCCACGGCGCCCGCCGGGGGCCAGAAACUCUUGUUUUGUUCAGUGGUAUUCUCUCUGAGUGGCACAAGCAAAUAAAAUUA
rnacentral:misc_RNA from 1 species